UCUAAUAUGGCAGAAUAGUGCAAUGGAUUUAAACUUCAUAUAUAAAGAUUUUAACCUUUUAUUAGAA
rnacentral:tRNA from 1 species